rnacentral:rRNA from 1 species
CAGUCGCCGCGGUAAUACGUAGGCGACAAGCGUUGUCCGGAAUUAUUGGGCGUAAAGGGCUCGCAGGCGGUUUCUUAAGUCUGAUGUGAAAGCCCCCGGCUCAACCGGGGAGGGUCAUUGGAAGCUGGGAAACUUGAGUGGAGAAGAGGAGAGUGGAAUUCCACGUGUAGCGGUGAAAUGCGUAGAGAUGUGGAGGAACACCAGUGGCGAAGGCGACUCUCUGGUCUGUAACUGACGCUGAGGAGCGAAAGCGUGGGGAGCGAACAGGAUUAGAUACCCCAGUAGUCCCUGUCUCUUAUAC